AUUGAACGCUGGCGGCAUGCCUUACACAUGCAAGUCGAACGGUAGCGGGCCUUCGGGUGCCGACGAGUGGCGAACGGGUGAGUAAUGUAUCGGAACGUACCUUUCAGUGGGGGAUAACGUAGCGAAAGUUACGCUAAUACCGCAUAUUCUGUGAGCAGGAAAGCAGGGGAUCGCAAGACCUUGCGCUGAUUGAGCGGCCGAUAUCAGAUUAGCUAGUUGGUGAGGUAAAGGCUCACCAAGGCGACGAUCUGUAGCGGGUCUGAGAGGAUGAUCCGCCACACUGGAACUGAGACACGGUCCAGACUCCUACGGGAGGCAGCAGUGGGGAAUUUUGGACAAUGGGGGCAACCCUGAUCCAGCCAUGCCGCGUGAGUGAAGAAGGCCUUCGGGUUGUAAAGCUCUUUCGGCCGGGAAGAAAUCGUAUGGGUUAAUACCCUGUGCGGAUGACGGUACCGGCAUAAGAAGCACCGGCUAACUACGUGCCAGCCGCCGCGGUAAAAC
rnacentral:rRNA from 1 species